rnacentral:rRNA from 1 species
UACGGAGGGGGCAAGCGUUGUUCGGAAUUACUGGGCGUAAAGGGCUCGUAGGCGGCCAACUAAGUCAUACGUGAAAUCCCUCAGCUUAACUGGGGAACUGCGUGUGAUACUGGAUGGCUUGGAUUUGGGAGAGGGAUGCGGAAUUCCAGGUGUAGCGGUGAAAUGCGUAGAUAUCUGGAGGAACACCGGUGGCGAAGGCGGCAUCCUGGACCAAUAUUGACGCUGAGGAGCGAAAGCCAGGGGAGCAAACGGG